rnacentral:rRNA from 1 species
UACGAAGGGGGCUAGCGUUGCUCGGAAUCACUGGGCGUAAAGGGUGCGUAGGCGGGUCUUUAAGUCAGGGGUGAAAUCCUGGAGCUCAACUCCAGAACUGCCUUUGAUACUGGGGAUCUCGAGUCCGGGAGAGGUGAGUGGAACUGCGAGUGUAGAGGUGAAAUUCGUAGAUAUUCGCAAGAACACCAGUGGCGAAGGCGGCUCACUGGCCCGGUACUGACGCUGAGGUGCGAAAGCGUGGGGAGCAAACAGG